AACGAACGCUGGCGGCAUGCCUAACACAUGCAAGUCGAACGAGACCUUCGGGUCUAGUGGCGCACGGGUUCGUAACGCGUGGGAACCUUCCCUUAGGUUCGGAAUAACUCCCCGAAAGGGGUGCUAAUACCGGUUAAUUUCUUCGGACCAAAGAUUUAUCGCCUUUGGAUGGGCCCGCGUUGGAUUAGCUAGUUGGUAGGGUAAAAGCCUACCAAGGCGACGAUCCAUAGCUGGUCUGAGAGGAUGAUCAGCCACAAUGGGACUGAGACACGGCACAGACUACUACGGGAGGCAGCAGUGGGGAAUAUUGGAAAAUGGGCGAAAGCAUGAACAAGCAAUGACGCGUGAGUGAUGAAGGACUUAGGGUUGUAAAGCUAUUUUAAACGGGAUGAUAAUGACAGUACCGGGAGAAUAAGCUCCGGCUAACUACGUG
rnacentral:rRNA from 1 species